ACACAUGCAAGUCGAGGGGCAGCGGGAUUGAAGCUUGCUUCAAUUGCCGGCGACCGGCGCACGGGUGAGUAACGCGUAUCCAACCUUCCGUACACUCAGGGAUAGCCUUUCGAAAGAAAGAUUAAUACCUGAUGGUAUGAUGAGAUUGCAUGAUAGCAUCAUUAAAGAUUUAUCGGUGUACGAUGGGGAUGCGUUCCAUUAGGUAGUAGGCGGGGUAACGGCCCACCUAGCCUACGAUGGAUAGGGGUUCUGAGAGGAAGGUCCCCCACAUUGGAACUGAGACACGGUCCAAACUCCUACGGGAGGCAGCAGUGAGGAAUAUUGGUCAAUGGACGAGAGUCUGAACCAGCCAAGUAGCGUGAAGGAUGAAGGUCCUACGGAUUGUAAACUUCUUUUAUAAGGGAAUAAACCCUCCCACGUGUGGGAGCUUGUAUGUGCCUUAUGAAUAAGCAUCGGCUAACUCCGUGCCAGCAGCCGCGGUAAUACGGAGGAUGCGAGCGUUAUCCGGAUUUAUUGGGUUUAAAGGGAGCGCAGACGGGUCGUUAAGUCAGCUGUGAAAGUUUGGGGCUCAACCUUAAAAUUGCAGUUGAUACUGGCGUCCUUGAGUGCGGUUGAGGUGUGCGGAAUUCGUGGUGUAGCGGUGAAAUGCUUAGAUAUCACGAAGAACUCCGAUUGCGAAGGCAGCACACUAAUCCGUAACUGACGUU
rnacentral:rRNA from 1 species